AUGAUUUUGAACAAUGGAUUAUAGGCUGGUUCCACUCUGAAGUUAGUAAUGUUUCUUCUUUAUGCUUGAGUAAUGAGAAUUUGAUAUGCAGAUUUAUUUGUGUUAUUUGGUACAUCAGGAAAGACCGGUGCUCUUUGGUCUUUCAAGAUAAGAAGCCUCAUCUGCAAGUUACUGUAGCUAGAGUUAAUUGGUUGCUUAAAGAAUGUUCAGUAUCAAUUUCCUAUUGCUAAUUAAUUGCAGAUCAAGAAUUGGAGGCCUCCGGACAAGGAAUUUGUGAAAAUAAUUAUUGAUGGUUCUUAUAUAUCACAGACUAAACAAGGAAGUGUAGGUCUAAUUCUGAGAAAUUUUGCAGGUACAUGUUUAGGAGCAAAAGGCAUAUGCUGUGAAGAGGAGGUGCAAGAGGAAUAUGGGACUGAGUAUUUUGAAUGCAAGGCACUAGAAUUAGCUGUGGAAUGGAUGGAGGAACUGGAAAUUACUAAAACAUUUUUUGAAAUGGAUUGUGAAUAUGAUGAGCUACAUAUUCACUGGUUCAAUCAAACUUUAAUUGAAGUAGUUAAACAUAAAUUCAGUAGUAGAAAUUUUUGGUUUUGCAAGUCUGUAAACAGAGUAGGUAAUAAUGCAGCUCAUGAACUAGCCAAAAAAGCUAGACUCCAGGCUAGAUUUUUUAUACUUAGACAAUUUUCCAGAUGAUAUUCUCACGCUGGUCAAAAAUGAUCUCUGUAAUUUUAAUUUCUAUCAGUGAUCGACUUUCUUUAGUAUCAAAAAAAAAAAAAAAAAAGUCAGAUCUUCGACCCCUUCUUAGUGAGAUCAUAAAAAAACCAUAAAGAUAAUCUCUUCCCCCCACUCCCCCUGAAAUUACUUAGGGAUCGGUUGGAAUCGGUAACUGAAGAUGGGUUUGUUUAGUUCAAUCUCAAUUUCAACUCAAUCAUCAAAUCAGUGAUUUAAUUUUGAAUUUGGAGUGAGUUUGGAGUGAUGGAGACAACAAAUUUUGUACCACCAACUGAUUGAUGAAUAGAGUACUGGGAAUAGAGGAAGUACAGAGAAAAGGUCGGAUUCCCCCUGAACUUCUGUAUCUUGUUUCUUUGACUUCUGUAUAUUUUAGCAAUUCUGGUUAAUAAUCUUCAUUUACUUUACUUUUUUUUGGAAGUUUUGUAGAUUCUUUUUGUUCUGUUGAAAAUCACCUUAUUACAAACAUAGAUUGAAAAUAUUCAGGUGUUGUCACAAACAGUCAGAGAGAACAUCUGGAAAACUCAAGUCUAAAUCUAGCACAUUAUCCUCCUUCAUAAUGGAAUUCAGUCCAUGGUUUUACUUGUUCAGCUGGAAUAGGUGGCUGAUACCUGUCUUGUUAAGAGAUUAUCAGGAUUAAAACAUGCAGUUGGAACAUAAAACAAACUAGCUCGAAGAAACAUACAGUUUUGUCCAUUAUCAUCAAACAAUUAUUCAACAGUUAUUAGUUGAAGAAUCAAGAAACAUAAAAUCUUCGGAUAAUCAUCUGUCUUCCUUUUAUGUGCUUUGAGUUCCGUAUCAUCAUUUUAUGCUUGUAAUACUUCCAGUAUGCCAUAAUGUUUCAGUAGUAUGUUUCCAGUGAGAGGGUUUUUUGCUUUUUGUAAUAUAUGCACGCAGGUGUUAUACAUAUCCGUCAAGCAAAAUUAACUAAGGGGACAAGGGCCUGACUCAAUGCGAAAACGCCGAGUCUGGGAGCUCGACGUUAAGCUUGUUACCAUAAACUUAAAUUGUUGAUAUUUGUGAUCUAAUGCCAUUAUUACUCCUUUUAAGAGUAGAAUAACUUAUUUUGUAUACAAAAUCACCUGCUGCCACAAUUGCAUGCUGUUUCAGAGGCUUUCUUUCUCAUGUCAUGUUCGAGAAACCCAUUUGUUGAUGUUUCCAUGCUGAAUAAGCCUGCUGUCAGGAACACAGAAACAAAAGUUUACCGGGAAGAUCUGUUGAAGGACAGAUACAGGGAGCAUAAAAUUGAAGAGUUCACUGCCAUGGGGAAGGGAAUGAGAAGCCGCAAACAGGGUUGAUGCUGAAAUGGUCUAUGCUGGGACUGAAGCAGGAAAAAAAGCCUCAGUCAAAGAAGAAAGCACGUGCUCCUGAAGAAUUACAAGCUGUUACCUUUGAUGACAGUUCAGAUCCUAUUAAUAUGUGAAGCUUUAUAAUGAGCAGACCAGCUGUUUAAGUAAACCUUCCGGUUUUACCCUGAAAGAAAACAUCUUUCGGUUCCAAGCCAUUAAUCAGAACUUGCAACAUAUUGUUGAUCCACCGAAGUUCACCUCACCUUCCGAAGAACUCAGAGUGGAAGCUGAUCAACAAUCAACCCAGGAUACUGUUUCUGGAUGUGAGUUCCCCAAAUGAAAAGAUGGAGAUGAUUCCAGAGUUUCUUAAUGUUUCUUAAACAGAUCCACAGCCUCCAUCAGUUCUCUUACGUUUUGGAAAGGAUAGCUCUGAAGUUGCUUAGUCCAAUAAUUCAGCUGCCACAAGCAGAGUGAAAACCUUGUUGGUUGUUCUGUAUGUGUGUUUGGUCACUGAUAUAUGAUUAUUGGAUUCCUUUGUUGUGCGUCUAA